rnacentral:lncRNA from 1 species
ACUGAAGAGCCAAGAAGAAUCUGAACAGACAGGACUUGCUGGGUUUAGAUCAUUCCCUUUUUGUCCAAUCACAUUUCAACAUGGUUGUCCAUGCUUCAGUCAUGCCUGUCCAAGAAGUCUUCAUAAAAGGCCCAAGAGGACAGGGUUCAGGGAGUUUUGGAGACCUGAACACAUGGAGGCUGACAGGAAGGUGGGAAGAUCAUCUGAGCCCGGAGAGGUGGAGGCUGCUGUCAGUCAAGAUCAUGCCACUGCUCUCCAGCCUGGAUGACAGAAAAACCCUGUCUCAAAAAAAAAAAAAAAAGUACUUAAACACUAAAGAAAAUUGGAAAAGAGACAACAGCCCACAAAGUUGCUUAAAUUGGAAAGCAAAUGGGAAAAUGAUGACAAAAUUAGCAGACGGGAGAAAGCUUAGUCCUAAAAGGGAAGUGAGGAAAGCUGAUAAGCAACCUCAUCUAAGCUGCGGAAAGACCCCAAAGACAAGGAACUGGCGGCACCAUGUGCCUUUGGACAUGGGGACGUGAGAGUAAAACAUGGACGCUGGUUGAAAAUCUGUUGAAAACGCAGUGGAACUUCAGGAAUUUCUUCCCC